GCUGACCUCUCUUCUCUUUAAAGGUAAACAGAAAAAAUUAUUUCUGUUUGGAAUGCAUGUUUUUGUGCAGCUAUAGGGGUAAGAGAAACAGAUGCUUUCUUGCUUUUAUUGAUUAUUAAGGAAGAGAGAGCUUGUAGGAAAUUAUUUUUUAAAGAUAAUUAGUGCUAGGUAAAAAAAAAAGUUUACUUUCAAAUUAUAUCAUGGAAUUGUUUAUUCUCUUUUUCCUGAUGCCCAAAGUUAAUUAUUGUUAUACUGCAAUCUGUAGGCUGGCAUUCCCAAACAGGAGAUGUCAGAGUGAAGUCUGACUCAGUGUUUUACUCAAUCUAUUUGUCCUGGAUCCUACAGGGAUGUAUCUGUCUGUGUAGCUGUGGAAAGCUGCAUGUGCUGGAUGUAUGUUAUCCAUGACUACUUUCCUGUGGCUCCCUUGGAAGUAAUGCCUUUUGACACAUGGCCUUAGGCUGGCAGAAAAACAUGCAAAGGAGCUCGCUUCUUUCUGGGUGACUUUAUCCCUUUAAAAUAAACUUUAUGGAAAGGUACUCCUUUCCUACACGUGGAAGAUACCUGUGUUUUCCCAAAGGCAAAGGCUUUUGAUGACUUUCAAGAAGUGACCACUAAGAGUUCAAGAGGAACAUCCAUGUAAUGAGUUUCGUCCACUGAAGUGUCAGCUCCCAUUCAGCUGCCCUCCCUGUCUGGCAGCUAAGCAUAUGCUUCAAGUCAUUUCAGACUUGCUAUCUAGCUAUUUUUUUCAAUAUUAAAACAUGAAUGUGUUUCUUAUAAAUUUAAUUUUGUGUAUAACGUGGUUUGGAUUUUAUGAGAACUGUAUUCUUCCCGGGGAAGGAUAAAGCAGUCUGAGUUUGCAGAUUUCCUUUCAGUUUGUGUAGGAUAUUCUUAAAAUCAGGAUCUGGGAGUGGAAUUCUUUUUGUUGUUUAACACGGCAAGGUUUUCCUUUUUUUCCCCUCUUUGCAUCUAGUGCCGAAAACAUCUCGAUUCUGGAAGCAAUCUAGUUAAAUAUUUUAUGUUUUGGGAAAGACUCGCUUCCCGUGGAAGUCUCUUUCAAUUGCUGUGUUUUGAGAAUCUGUCACUGAUCUGAGGAGAAAGGGACAGAGAGAGAAUUACAAAUUGCAGAUUUGUGGUACUGCUGGAAUCGUAAGUGACAGCCCAGGAUUGACUAUGGGAUAUUCUGCAUCUUUAGUUUGACAGGGUGCAACAGUCCUGUGGCCAUGCAGCCUUCACAGUUGUCAUUUACACCACAGUCCGUGGCCACACGGAUGUUGUGGUUAUAAACGGAGACAGAUCGUGUGUGAGACACUCCGCCCCAGCGACACACGACCCUUUACUGCUGGAGCUCCAGGACAGUUUGUAGCUUCCAUUGCAGUAGGAAUGUUUGUAUCACCUAUGAGGCAGCGUGUCCUGUGUCCUUGAGCACUUCACCCAAUUAAAAAUGGUCAUACACACACGUGCUACUUGUUAAAGACCAGGUUUGGGUCACCACCGUAAGGCAUCCAACUUCACAACAACUUAAAAAUAUUCUUGACCAAGAAAAUUCAGAGAUCUCAGUAAGACAUUUGGGCUUUGUGCAGUGUUGGGAAUGGAGUGAAGGAGGUGUCUCUGGAGGGAGCUGGAUGCCCACUGAGUGGAGAGCUGCCAUGUGGGUCACUAGGGAACAUCUCUGCAGGAACAGGUCUGAGCUGCUGUCUUUGUGCAGCUGGUUUGUGAUGGUGCAUAAAGUGCCUUGAUCCACUCAGAGCAGGGAUGCCCCUGGUAGGGCUGGUACCUGCUUAACAAAUAUUAAAAAGCAGUGGUGUGGUGCCAGGAACUGCUUUGUGUGAGGGGGGCUGCUGUCUGCCCACCCCAAGAGGAAGGAGGCCAAGGACCUUCUUAGCUCACUGUGCUGUUCCUGAAAGAUGUCCUAACCAUGAAGCUACAGAUGAGACUAUGGAAGAGCCAUUAUCUCCUAUUCUAGUCAAUCAAACUAGAGAAGGAGUCUGAUCCCAUCAACCAAGGACAAGCAUUUCCCUUGUGUGCCUGACUUAAAGUAUUAAUUAGUCCUUACCUGUUGCUUCUAAUUAUGUCUUCAAGAAAGCAGGGCAGCAAGGGAAGAUCUCAGUGUGAGGAUUCUCAGGUGAAAUUCCCACAAUAUCAAGGAGUUCAGCCCUGAUGCCUUGGCAUACACCAGGAUCAUCUCUUGUCCCUACGGCAUUACAGACUCUUAGGAUCCACAUGGAGAAAGGAUUCACUGCCAACCAUCCCAGUACUUCCCAGGAGCAGAACUGGCCCUUCACAGUUCUCUCAGGUGGCGGUAUUGUACAGUAUGCUUAGACAGGAGAGCAACAUUUUGGGUGAACUGGUUGCUCUUGAGAAGAGCUCAGCCUCUGAUAAAGGCUAUCCAGGUCUGUCCUAAGUAGUAAAACAAUAUACAGAGAGACAAGUGGUAAAGUCCUGUGCCGUGCUGGUGCUUAGCACACUGCAAUACUGUUAAUUAAGCUUCGUUAGUUUGAUGUCCAGUUUUUCUGACAUGGGGUUUUGAUCUAAUCUUGCAGAAUUCUAAAACUCUGCCUUUUUUCUUUUUUAUGUACAAGUACAUCUAGAAAAGAUUUUCAUAAUUUCUUUGUGUCCAGCUUCUCUAAUAAGGUUGGACAGAUUCUCACAGUUUCUGUUGCUAAUAUGAUUCCUGGCAAAUAGAGCAGAAGGUUCAGGAGAACAAAAGAAGUGAUCUAAUUUUAGUAAUGGUACAGACUGAGUCUGUCAUUUUUCUCUCUCUUUUAUCCUCCUACCCUUUCUGAAUGUCAGAACCUCUUCCAGCACUGCCUCUUUUCAGUUUGAAUUGAAUUCUUGUUCCUCGUCAAGGACUGGGCAUGAUGAGUUUUAAGAUACUCCUCUGAACAGACACUGAAUAUUUGAGAGGUUGAUCAGUGAAAUCCUGACUUGUCACAGGUAAUUUGCUGAGAACAAACCACUUCCAGUGAAGCUUUUUGCAGAUUAGAAACCCUUAUAUCUGAAAUUUCACUUAACAUGUAUGUCAUAUUUCUAUUCUCCACUUCAAAACUUAAAUUGGAGUUUGAGUCUAUUACAACGUAAAGACAAUAAAGGAAUUUAAUUUCUGUGCAAGUAGGUCUGCUCAGUUUGUGAGGUGCUCAGACCUCAAUCCACUGAAGGUCUUUAAGCCUGUGCCUAAUUCAAGUCUGAGAAUUUCUACAGAGAAGCCUUAACAAAAAACAUAUUCUUUCAAAGGCAAUGGAAAUACUAACAUGUUUUAAAUUAAAUAUAUGCUUACAAACUUUGCUAGGUUUGCAUCUCGGUGGAUUGUUCUAGUGAACAACAAUUAUAGUUGUGUUAGUCAGCCUUUAUUCUUGUGCUUCUGUUUUGGAUGUGAGAAAUAAACAGGCUGUGUUUGCAAUUUUUGGGGGAUGGCAAUUAUAGACAUCUGAUGUGCAGAACUGGACAAGAAAGCAAAGAGUAAAGAAUAACAUGGUUUGAAGUGAAAAUUGCUUGAGCAGCAAGAAAAUGCAGAGGACGUGCUUUGUUGGAUGUUUAUCGUGUGCACUACAAAAACACCACCGUGGUUAGAAAUAAAUUAUAGUUCAACAUUUAGAGACAUAGUAUAUUACAAAAUGAAAAAUAAAGCCAGCCUUAAAAUUAAUUUUGUUCCUGAACAAGUCCACUUAACUAACCAUGGCAAACAUGAUUAAAAAUGUGCAAUCAUUUUUCAAAACAAAUAAUGCCUUAGUAUCUAUCUCCAGUUUGUUUCAUUUCACGUCAUCAUUAUAGAAGGGGGCAGACAAGCAUUGCAAUUGAAUCUAUGGAACCUACAGCCAAUAUGAUGAUUGAUGUAACAGACCACACUAUUAGACCUAAAAUUGGACUUUGGAAUACACUCCACGUACUUUAGAAUAGUAUUUUCAUCUGUCUUUGCAGAUGAAAUAAUUAGGUAGACCUCCUCCCCUAACUUACAUGAUGGAUUUAAAAGCUAGGCUGAACGAUUUUGAGAUGUGAAGAGUUUUGCUUCUCAGCUCUGUGUCUUUAGGAAUUAUAUUUAGAUUGCUUUUUCUGAAAUCAUUAGGCCUGAAAAAAAAUAGAAGCUUAAAUGUAUUCCAGGAACUGCAGCUUUAAAAAGCCCUCUGCCAAACAAGUAAAGCUGGCAACAGAAUCUCCCUUAUUGUGACCAAACAGCUCAUCAUUUAACCAGGAAAUGGAAGGGAGGGACCGUUCUUUCUCCAUUCCUGUUUUCCAUCUGUGAAGAGGUUUGGAUGGUUCCACCCUGACGGUGGUGGGAAUGGCUGCACCACAGUGUGGAUGUCCCCAGGACGCUGUCCCCCACGCCCAUGGCACCACGUGGUGCUAACAAGAGCCAACUCUUCAUCCUCUCCCUCUCCUGCCACAGCAAAUAUACGUGUGACUGCCAGCCCACCCCUUCUAGAACUGUUCAGUCUUGCUUAUCCCUCUUCCUGCUCUGGUGCCUGGCCAUUGCUCCCACUCCACCGACAGUCACAGAAUAGCAGGAUAUUUCUGCUGAAAUGAAUGGUCAUGAAAUGCUUCUCAUCCAGGGGCUGGGUGGAAGACUAGAAAUGAACAGGAGGGUCUGGGGGCUGCUGGCACUUUUCCCCAGAGUACAAGAAGGCCAGCUCUGCCAGGUGUCUCUGUUGGGUGCUCUGGAACCAUCUCCGUAGUUCUUUCCUGUGUCUGGCACUUGUUUGCCACGGGGUGAUUUUCUGGCUGGGCUGAGGCAUCUGUACCCCUUUUGGUGCAGGAGAGCUGGUGGCAUGGGCUCAAUCCCCAUUUCAGCCUCUCCCAUUGCUAUCCCAUGCAGCUCUUAUCAGGGAGCUGAUACUGUGACUCACAAUGUCGAUGUUCAGGAGACACAUCAAGAAAUCUGGCAUACAGCCCACGGCUACAGCUCGGAUUCUGCAACAAUAAUGUUUAUGUUGGCAGGCCAUGGAACAGAAACUUGCGUUCUCUCCAGCUGACUGGUGUGAUUCUAGCAAUUAAUUCAGCUUUUCCAGGCGCAAAAGUUUGUUUAUACAGCUUGUGGCUCUUCCUAUUUCAAAACACAUCAAUAACUUGGGAAAAAAAACUGGCUAGGCAGUCACAGAAUCACAGAACUCUUGAGGCUGGAAGGGACCUUCGAAGGUUGUCUAGUCCAAGUACUGCUCAGAGCAGAGUCAACUACAGCAGGUUUCUCAGGGCUGUGUCCAGUCAGAUUUUGAGUAUCAUCAAGGAGGGAGACUCCACAGCCUCUCUGGGCAACCUUUUCCAGUGUUUGACUUCCCUCUCAGGAUAAACUUCUCAUAUUUAAAUGGAGUUUCCUCUAUUGCAAUGGGUGUCCAUUGCAUUUCCAUUGUCCUCUCACUGGGCACCACAGAGGAGAGUUUGUCUCUUCUUGCUCCUUCACAUCAUGUGUUUAUAUACAUCGAUAUGAUUCUCUUGUCUUUCUCCAGACCAAGCAGUCCCAGCUCCUUCAGUCUCUCCUUAUAUAACAGAUUCUCCAGUCCCUUAACCAUCAUCAUGGCCCUUUGCUGGACUCAUUCCAGUAUGUCUAUGUAUCUUUUGUACUGGAAAGCUCAGGACUGGACCCAGCUCUGGAGAUGUGACCCCCACUAGUGUUGGGGAGAGGAGAAGGAUCACUUCCCUUGACCUGCUGUAGGUAUUUUUCCUAAUGCUGCCUUGGAGGCUGUUGUCCCUCUUUUCUGCCAGGUCACAUUGCUGGCUCGUGGGCAGCUUGUUGAACACCAGGAUCCCCAGAGCCUUCUUUGCAAAGCUCCUUUUCAACUAGUUGGCCUCAUCCUCUACUGGUACUUGGGGUUAUUAAUCUCUGUGUGCAGGACUUUGCAAUUCUCUGAGUUGCCCUUGAUGAGAUUGCUGUUUGCCAUUUGGAAAUCUUUAUAAAGAACUACUUGGGACAGAGGUGGAGGGAUGGAGGUUGAAGUAUCUGAGGUCCCCAUAAAAUGCACACAUCAUUAGUUGUCUAGUUUUUUAACUUCAUGACCCUCACAUCUGUAAGACCAUAUCAUCAUCCAGAGCUCUGGAGGAUGUCAGAAAUCUGAAACGAGGACAAAAGCAAUACAUACAAGUAUUACCUGUGUAAAUCUAUACAGAAAUGAGCAACUGCAGUUAUUUAAUUCUCUGUGUUGUAACUUGAGUCUUAAAAUGUGGUAUUUAUAGCACUUCUGUUUCAAUCACAGUAAUUCUGCCCCAAAAGAAACAUGUGUGAAUGGAAUCCUCGUGGUUAUGAAUGAACCACUUAUUUUCUCUUUAUUUAUAUGACUGAAAUCCACGGUUUCCUCUGUAUCCUGAUUUUUUUCUGCAUGGUUGUUCUUUCCAACAACAAGGCCUCACUGCCUCUGCCCUCAGCUCCCCAAUGGUGAGAAGUAGUGUCCAUGUGGUGCCCUGAGUACAAAGGAUACAGCAAAAUCCUGGCUGUGAAAUCUCACCAACUGGAAUCGCCAUCAGAUUGCCAAAUGUCCUAAAUAUGUCCAAUUUUUUUCUUUGUCUUUAUCCUGUUGCAUGUUAUUUUGGGGAUAGAAGGGGCCUGGAGCCUAAUGGAGCUGUCUGAGAACUCCUAUUUUUUUCCUUUACUUUUGCCAUUCUCACGGGACAGUCAUUGAUUCACGACAGGGAUUUACACCCAAGUGUGAAAUUUGUUACUUUGGGCUUUACCUUGAAUCCAAACUUUCCAGUCUAUAUUGGAUGUCUCAGACAAUGAACUAAGGACAUUAAGAGAACAAUCCUGGUUUCUUGGAAGUGAGUAAGGAAAAUGCCUUUGUGUUGGAGGCAGCCUUUAUUUUCAAAUGUUUGGAGAUAGGAGAAUCCAGGCUUGUUCUUUCAUCCACACGGAGAAAUUUAAGCACAUGCAAAACCUUCUAGCUACCUUUCUUUACCCAGACUCACAGAGUAAUUAACCCAGUUUACUUACUUUAUUUAAUUUACUUCCUUUGGUUUGAAAUUUCUUUGUUUUCUUUCAGGUUUUAUGCUGCAAAUUCAUCAAUAGCACCAAAAAUUUGAUUUGUCCAGAGGGUGUACAACUAGAAUAACUUUAUAAAGAGAUGUAGCAAAGAAAAAGUAGAAAUGUUGCUGAAAUUCAUUUAGGGUAUUUACAAUAUGCUCACUCCUAACUUCACUGUUGAAGCAAAUCAGGGCAGAAAGUCUUCAUGGUAUGGUAGUAUGACUCACUUUGGGUUCAUGGAGAUCUGGGCUGCAGAUUUGAACCCCUCAGCUCCAUUCCUUGUGUGUCUGGACACAGCCCAGCCUUGCCUGGGGCUGCCUUUCUGUCUUUAUUCCCUGCAAGUUCCUGCACCUCCCCAUCGGGACAUUUUGAUUUGGAGGAUGGAAGAAUGCCCUUGAGUUUAAGAUGCUGGAUUGAGACGCGCCCAGGCUAAAAAAGUCAAAAAUUCCUUUCUUUAAACAUAUGUGGUUUCAUGUGACCUUCAGUGAAUCUGCCAAAACUUCAGCUUUCCCCCUGCAAAUUAGGUACUGUCCAGCUGAGUUGGUUGGAUACCAGGUGGUAGGAAGGAAAACACAAAAUUAUUUAUAAAAAAAACCCAAAUCCUGCUUCACAGACAGAGCUCAUCUCUUGUAAGUGGGUCAGAGUCGUUGCAGAAAGAGUUGCCGCAAUCACACGGUGUGUUUGAAAGGUCUUGUUAAUGUUCAACACUUUUCCCCCUUUUAAAGCUUCCAUUUUGAAGUCAGAUGAUUCUUAAUACGUUUUUCUUUUUUCCCAUUUGCAGUUAACACACUGACCCGGCAUCUUGGCAGCAGCACUGGGAAGCUGCGUUGGUGAAUCCAGGUCCUCCGGUUUUCUUUCCUUCCUUCCUCCCUUCCUUCUGAAGGAAGCCCCCAUGAACGGGUCCCUGGGAUUAAGGGGGAAGCGGAGGUUUUAAUGAAGCAGGGGUGAAGGGAGGUAAGGGAAGAUCCUGUUGCUUAUGUGAUUAUUGCUAAUUACUGUAAUUGAACAUCCUCAUGACAGGAAUAUUUGGUGCCUGAGGUAAAGCUUGUUUGCUUCCAUUCCUUUUUUCAACUGUCUCGUGGUGCCCUCUCGAGGUAGGAGAGCAGCCCCUUUUAUUCCCUGUUUUACAGCAGCUGGAACACAAGCUGGAAGCACAGACCUCGGUGAAGAAGCUGAGAAAUUGCUAUUUGCUUUGAAAAAAAAAUUAAAUUUGCUAAAAAUCCUUGCAAAAUAAGUGGGAUUUUUUUGAUUCCCAUUUAAAAAAGCACACCAGUCUUUUUGUUUCCAUCUUUUCAGUGAGAUCAAGCACUCAAAAGGACGCAAAAAGCACAGGGGAUGCUUCUUCACAGUGCCCUGAGGCCACAAAGGUGCAUUUCCUUGGAGCAUGAACAAGGUUAAAGGCUGUUUCCAUGAAGGAAGGGAGCACAUUUCCCACAACAUGCUCUUGUGCCCUUGAAGCAAAGCACAAAAUGCAUCAGGAAAUGCUGACGUGUUUGGAUAUUAAAGUGGAUUAGGAAACCUUGACACAUGAGAAAGGCUGACCUUAGGGCUCGAGUCAAACAGAGGGUAUUGUGCUUGUGAGGGAGGUCUGAAUGCCUUGGAUGUCAUCACCACCUCACUGUGAAGGACUGCAAACUGCAAGAUUCUCUGUAAAAGUGACUGUUAGAUGCUCAGUCUUGAAAUAUCUCUUGCCAGGUGACAGCAGAUUAUCCUUCCAAAAAUGCCUCAUCUUAAAUCCAGCAAGGAGCAAGGACUGGCAAUAUAGUGGGCCCUCAAGAGGCAGUGAAUUAAUCAGUUUGGGUUUGGACUGGGAUAGGGUUGAUGCUCAGAGUCUGGGGCAAGGACAUCCAGUUUUAGAGAAGAGCACGCUAUGGGUACACGGUGAUUUAUUUAAAAAUACAGAUUUUAAAAAAAAAUCUCUGUUUCUCAUAGAUAACUUUUGAAGGGGAUAGAUGUAAGCAAAUGCUGAACAACAUGCCGAUUCUGAAGGCACAAAUCCCCUCCACAGAACUGCAAAUUGAAGACUCAAGGCUCCUGUUUUGUUGAAGAGAGACUUUUGAGCCCAACAAGGGGACCUUGAGGAGCUCUCCUGAGAGUCCCUUUCACAUAGAUAUGCACAGAAUGAAUAGUUUAUCUCCAGCUCCUGCUGACUUUCAUGAAUAAUUUGAUGUAAAAAGCUAAGUUGCAUUUCUGCUGUGUCGGUUAACUUGGAAGUACCAGCUUCUAAUAUUCCAGCCACAGACUGAAACAGACUUUCCAGUUUUAGAGGCCAAAGUGGCCUCUCUGGCUUCCACUCACUGUGAAUACCUUACCUUUUUUCCUCCUUUAACUACCUGGCUGCUUCAGGCUCCCCAGAACAUGAAAGAGGCUCUAGAGCUUCCAGCUGACAGAACAUCUCUUGUGAAUGAAAGCUCUUUACUUAAACACAGAAGAUUUGGUGGGACAUACAACUGUGAUUUUUACUGUUUCUCGUUUUCAUUCCCAGGUGUACGCCAGAAAAUCCUGUGGUCAGCCCUGAAGGGCAAAACAGAUCUCUGCUGAGCAGAGCAGCAGAGGGAGUGUCAAAGCUGCGUGUUGGAGAUGGGGAAGAAAAAUCUCACCUUGGAUUCAGGAGCUGGAAUUCAUCCUAAACUCACACUUCAGCCUUCUUCUCCCAGGAGGAUCAGCAUCGGGGUAGAGGCGCUAUGGGACAACUCCUUUCCUGGGACAAGGGUAGACACAGGAGAACCUGAACUUUUAUUACAAGCUGGAAAACUGAAACCCAAAUGUGGAAAUCUGAUACCAGUGCAUUUCUUUUUUUUUUUUUUUUAAUAAAAUAGUUUAAAUGAGCUUAUCUGAAUUUAAAUAUCUAGAUUUAAGCAGUUUAUUUCCUUGCACAACAAACUAAACAGAUGAUUCAAGUGCAUGUAAAAAUUCAGCUGCUCUGUUGGAAUUUGGAUGGUUUGUCCUCACAUGCAUCAGCAUCCCUUUGACUUAUAAUAUUUCUUGCCUUCUGUUUGCAAAAUGAGUAGAGUUUUCCCAGGCAGAUACUUUGUCUGGACUGCACCAUAUUCGGUCUUCGAAUAAUCAGUUCAAACUGCAAGUCAAACACCUCUUCUACUCCAUUCUCUGUAAUUGAUUCAUUAUUUCUUUCAAAUUCCUUGGCUGCCUCAUGUCUUUUUGCCAGUGCAUAUUGAGCAAUCAGGUCAUUCCAGGUUGCUUUUGUUUGUGUUACUCCUAUGAAUUCAGUUUAUAUUUAACCCUGGGAAUAACAGACAUAAAAAGCCAACACGAAAAAAAGAAGGGAGGAUGCAUCUGGUGCAGUCAAUAUCAUGUCCAGUCACAGAGUUAGGAGGGGACAGGAUGAUUGAAGGGAAUGAUAAAGGGCACAAGCUUCUAGUUUUUGGAAUUGGUUUAGGUUUGAUAAAUCAGAAAACUGUUACCAAGUAAGAGCACUGAAGGGACAAUGUUUCUAGUGCCAUCUCAGGUCAAGACUUCAGGAUAUUCUUCCGUAUUCCCUGGGCCCUACAGUUCCCACAUAAAGGCAAGAUGAGGGUCAUGUUGUAUUCAGCAUGUUUGGAUCAUCAGAGGCCCAAGGCCACAGCACCCAGUAUAGUCAUUAUCUAACUGUUGGCCCUAUCUUGGCUUACAAAGAUCAAGCACAGAACAUUGUUCACCACCAGCAGAGAGGACAAAGCCACCACCAUGACCCCAGCCCUAAGUCAGUGAUGGUACAAAGGGGUGAACUGAGAUUUAAGUCUGCCUUGGCUUUUUUAAGGUCACUGAUUCCCUUUAAAGAAACAAAACAACACAGAGACUUGUGUGUGCACAAACACACACACACACAAUAAUUAAAAGAAUUAACAUGGGAAUUAGUUUGUGUUGCAAACCAAGGCUGUUGUUAGGUGGAAAUUUGCCAUAUGCUCUCCAACACUAGACACAAAGAAGGACCAUUUUACCACUUAAACCUCCGUUUUGCUGUAGGAUUGGAAAGCCCAGUGCUGUCGAUUGGCUCCUUUAAUUUAAAGCAAAUUAAUUGUGGGAGCCGGAUAUCAAGAUUACUCAGAAGUUCUUGGAAGCUCUUUCUUUCGGGCUGCUGAGCUUUUAUUUUGAGGAGAAGGUAACACAAAUAAUAAAAUACAGAGAUGCAUGGGCUUAGUGUAAAGAAGACUUGGAGGUUUAUAUGUCUUCCUUCUUUUUUUUUUUUAAACAGUCCAAUUAUGUACCACGUAGCAGCAACUGGGCUAACACCAGCCAUAUGAUGGAAUAGCUUGUAAUCCGGUUGUGUCUAACUCCAUGAGACAGACUCCAAGUAGAUGAGUUUUAAAUCUCCUUAGAAUUAAGAAGGGUUUGGCAACCAAAUUAAUUGUUUUGGAAAAAUCCCGCUUUAUGGAUCAUGAAGAGGAUAAAAAGGGAAAAAACAUGUCAUCUGUAGUGGUUAGUCAGAUGUUCUUUUGGAGUUACAACGAUUUCCUCUCUAAUUCCUCUCCUUGUUGACAUUCCCGUUAAAAGAAUAAUGAGUACGAUGUUCGUUGCCUCAGCGCUGCUCAUCCCUGUGUACAUUACGAAAUCUUUGCAUUAAGCCACCCAAAUGGAUUGGAUCCUACGGCGAGGCAGACACUGAAAACAACUGCACUCAGCUGUGAGAUGCAUAAAAGCCACGUAUAACCCGAUACGCUGUGCUACAAGGGGCGAUAAUCGCCGGGACCCUGUACGGGAGUUUGUUUGAAAGCAGUGGUGGGGCCCAGACAGAGUGCAUCACUCUGGUUUAGCAGGGCUGAAUUAUUUCAGCCUCUGGAUUUUUAAUAUUUAUGUAGUUACCCUUUUACCGGUGCGGUUGUGAUGCUUUGGAGAAAAUAUGUUCUAUGUAUUAUUAAUGGCAUGUUUAAAUAAUGAGAGACAAUUAAAUGAUCGCUGGGUGAUAGUUUCCCAGGUGUAUUUCUGUUUUAUGUGUUUUGUAGAUCUGUACUGUAUUCUCACAGAGGCUACGUUACUUAAUUACCCCGUGCUUUUACAGAAUUUUGGUAAAAAUAAGUGUGCAAAAAAAGAUAUUAUUAUUUUACAGGUGUCAUAAAAGCAGCUUCAUUAGGGAGCCUGGUACUAAUAGUCCUUUAAUACAGAAAGCCAGAAGAUGGUUCUUCACAUGGUACAUUAAACAGUGAAAUAUGCCAAUUUUGACUUGAUUUCUAACGUUGCUAAACUACCCCACAUUCAUUUGCUUCAGCUUUAAGCCCUUUCAUUCUCAUAUUCUCCAGCCCUGCUAACAGAAUUGCAGCUUGCUUUUCACCUAUCUCCUAACAGUUUAACAUGGAUGUCUGGGUCCAGCCCAUUGUUCCAAUUGUAUAUAGUUUAAAAAGCUCUGCAGUAUUUUACUCUUUCCAUUAUAUCUUGGCUUCCCCGAGCGCUCUGCUUGCUGCAUUUUGCUUGUACUGGCUCUGUUUUCUAAACCCAUUUAUGGCUUUUUCUUCUGUACACACUUGUUCAUUGGGGAGCUUAAAUUGACUUCUCUCCAUUCUGUUUCCUUAACUAAAAACGCACCAUUAAGGUUGAUUGAAGUCUUUUGAAAACACUUCAUAAAAAAUGAAAGGCCAUAAGAAAUUAGGCUACCAGUGUUUGCAAAUACCUGUUUUCAGCCAAAUUGAUGGGAGGGAAUAAGAAUUGAAAUUUAAAAAUGCUACUGAUAUGUAUUUUGUUGCGAGUUGUUUUUAUAAGAAUAGAAAAAGCGUGUGUAAAACAUUUUGAGGAAUAAAAUGUUGAGACGUUAACAA